GACUGGAUAGCUCAGUCGGUAGAGUUUGAGACUUAAUCUCAGAGUUGUGGUUUGAGCCCCACAUUGGGCA